rnacentral:rRNA from 1 species
AACGAACGCUGGCGGCAGGCUUAACACAUGCAAGUCGAGCGCACAGUUUACUGUGAGCGGCAGACGGGUGAGUAACGCGUGGGAAUCUACCUUGAGCUACGGGAUAACAGAGAGAAAUUUCUGCUAAUACCGUAUGUGGCCUUUGGGCGAAAGAUUUAUCGGCUUAAGAUGAGCCCGCGUUGGAUUAGCUGGUUGGUGGGGUAAAGGCCUACCAAGGCGACGAUCCAUAGCUGGUCUGAGAGGAUGAUCAGCCACACUGGGACUGAGACACGGCCCAGACUCCUACGGGAGG